rnacentral:rRNA from 2 species
GGACUACUGGGGUAUCUAAUCCUGUUUGCUCCCCAUGCUUUCGCACCUCAGCGUCAGUAUUAGGCCAGAAGGCUGCCUUCGCCAUCGGUAUUCCUCCAGAUCUCUACGCAUUUCACCGCUACACCUGGAAUUCUACCUUCCUCUCCCAUACUCUAGCCGUGCAGUUUUGAAGGCAGUGCCCAGGUUAAGCCCGGGGAUUUCACCUCCAACUUGCACAACCGCCUACGCGCGCUUUACGCCCAGUAAUUCCGAUUAACGCUUGCACCCUCUGUAUUACCGCGGCUGCUGGCAC